rnacentral:rRNA from 1 species
AUUGAACGCUGGCGGCAGGCCUAACACAUGCAAGUCGAGCGGAUGAAGGGAGCUUGCUCCUGGAUUCAGCGGCGGACGGGUGAGUAAUGCCUAGGAAUCUGCCUGGUAGUGGGGGAUAACGUCCGGAAACGGGCGCUAAUACCGCAUACGUCCUGAGGGAGAAAGUGGGGGAUCUUCGGACCUCACGCUAUCAGAUGAGCCUAGGUCGGAUUAGCUAGUUGGUGGGGUAAAGGCCUACCAAGGCGACGAUCCGUAACUGGUCUGAGAGGGUGAUCAGUCACACUGGAACUGAGACACGGUCCAGACUCCUACGGGAGGCAGCAGUGGGGAAUAUUGGACGAUGGGCGAAAGCCUGAUCCAGCCAUGCCGCGUGUGUGAAGAAGGUCUUCGGAUUGUAAAGCACUUUAAGUUGGGAGGAAGGGCAGUAAGUUAAUACCUUGCUGUUUUGACGUUACCAACAGAAUAAGCCCCGGCUAACUUCGUG